GAUCCAGGAGUGUGGAUGGGUAGGAGAGCGUUGUGUAACUAGUGAAGCGGCGGAGGAAUCCAGCCGUGGAAGUUACACAAGUGAGAAUGUAGACAUGAGUAGCGAAAGACGGGUGAGAAACCCGUCCACCGAAUGACCAAGGGUUCCUGAGCCAGGCUAAUCCGCUCAGGGUAAGUCGGGUCCUAAGGCGAGGCCGACAGGCGUAGUCGAUGGACAACUGGUUGAUAUUCCAGUACCCACAAUAAACCGACCGUGACGAAUCAAUAAUGCUAAGUGUUUGAAGUUGGCUAGCAAUAGCUGAUGGAGCGCACGACCCAAGUUGGUAGUAGUCAAGCAAUGGAGAGACGCAGGAAGGUAGUCCAACCCAGGCGAUGGUUGACCUGGGGUAAGAGUGUAGGAGGUUCUGUAGGCAAAUCCGCAGAACAAUCUCUGAGACUUAAUGCCGAGCCGUAAGGCGAAGUGGAUGAUCCUAUGCUGCCAAGAAAAUCUUCUAGCGAGGUUUAUAGUGGCCCGUACCCGAAACCGACACAGGUGGUCAGGUAGAGAAUACCAAGGUGAUCGAGAGAAUCGUGGUGAAGGAACUCGGCAAAAUACCCCCGUAACUUCGGGAGAAGGGGGGCUAAUUUUUGUGUAGAGGUUUACCUUCGAAGCAUAAGUUAGACGCAGAGAAUAGGCUCAAGCGACUGUUUACCAAAAACACAGGUCCGUGCGAAGUUGCAAAACGAUGUAUACGGACUGACGCCUGCCCGGUGCUGGAAGGUUAAGGGGAUUGAAAUACCACUCUGAACGUUUUGAGUUUCUAACCUCGGCCCAUUAUCUGGGUCAGGGACAGUGUCUGGUGGGUAGUUUAACUGGGGCGGUUGCCUCCCAAAAAGUAACGGAGGCGCUCAAAGGUUCCCUCAGCCUGGUUGGUAAUCAGGUGUCGAGUGUAAGUGCACAAGGGAGCUUAACUGUGAGACAGACAUGUCAAGCAGGUGCGAAAGCAGGAACUAGUGAUCCGGCGGUGGCUUGUGGAAGCGCCGUCGCUCAACGGAUAAAAGGUAC
rnacentral:rRNA from 1 species